UAAUCCCUUGACAGCCUAGAACUGCUUUACUCAUCCUCCUUGUACGUGGAACUGACAUAACCUACCAUUGUUCCAGUUUUUAAAAUGCACAGUUGAAAAGCCUUAAGUGUUUAUGGUCUGAGAAUUAGUUAAAUACAACUUCAGUUGAACGACAACACCAUGUAAAAGGCAUUGGUAAACCACUUCUGAAUAUUUUAUUCCAUGAAAAUCCUAUGAUGAGGCCAAGGCAAUAUGAAAAAUAACUAAUUAGAGCAGGACCUUUAAUGUAUGUCAGAGAUGCUUCAGCUAGAUCAUUUUAGCCUGGUCCUAUUGAAGAGUCCUUGAGUUAGGAAGAUAGAUGGAGCCUUGCUCUGCUUCUCAGUCC